GGGGGCGACCUGGCUUCGACGUGGGUUGCAAAACCAAAGGUGCAUGCCGAGAUUGAGACUUCUCGUUAAUCAGACUCAAAUAAACACAAAUGCAAACGAUGAAAUCUACGCUGAAGACGAAAGUGGUGCUAUCGCUGCCUAAUUGGACGAUACCCGCUUCGUAAGAAGCAACGUGCGCUGCCAAAAAACCAGCGCCCCGCUUGACCGAGCUUGUCUAUCGGUAUCGAAUCGGCGGUCAUAAAAGAUAGGCUAGUGGCUUGAUUUGUCCUGGAUUAAGCUGCGAAACUCAAGGACUUGCCAGAGAGAAUCCUGCCCGUCGGAGUCUUGAAGGUGAAAUUCAAAAGACACGGCUACGCAUGUAGAUCUAAUGGCAGAGUGCUUGCGGACGCGGGUUCAAUUCCCGCCGCCUCCACCA
rnacentral:tmRNA from 1 species